rnacentral:rRNA from 1 species
CGUUCAGAUUGAACGCUGGCGGAAUGCUUUACACAUGCAAGUCGAACGGUAGAGGGGGCAACCCCUUGAGAGUGGCGAACGGGUGAGUAAUGUAUCGGAACGUGCCCAGUCGUGGGGGAUAACGUAGUGAAAAUUACGCUAAUACCGCAUACGAUCUAAGGAUGAAAGCGGGGGAUCGCAAGACCUCGCGCGAUUGGAGCGGCCGAUAUCAGAUUAGGUAGUUGGUAGGGUAAAGGCCUACCAAGCCAACGAUCUGUAGCUGGUCUGAGAGGACGACCAGCCACACUGGAACUGAGACACGGUCCAGACUCCUACGGGAGGCAGCAGUGGGGAAUUUUGGACAAUGGGCGAAAGCCUGAUCCAGCCAUUCCGCGUGCAGGAUGAAGGCCCUCGGGUUGUAAACUGCUUUUGUACAGAACGAAAAGGUCUCUACUAAUACUAGGGGCUCAUGACGGUACUGUAAGAAUAAGCACCGGCUAACUACGUG